UACAGAGGGUGCAAGCGUUGUUCGGAAUUAUUGGGCGUAAAGCGCGUGUAGGCGGCCAGGCAAGUCGCGUGUGAAAUCCGUCGGCUUAACCGACGAAGUGCGCGCGAAACUACCUGGCUUGAGUGCCGGAGAGGGUGGCGGAAUUCCCGGUGUAGAGGUGAAAUUCGUAGAUAUCGGGAGGAACACCAGUGGCGAAGGCGGCCACCUGGACGGACACUGACGCUGAGACGCGAAAGCGUGGGGAGCAAAC
rnacentral:rRNA from 1 species